GCUUCGGGGAGGAGCUGAGCUGCUGCAGGACGCUGCCAGACCGCCGAGACUCCGUCUUUACUCCCGGGCAGCCCUCCCAGGCCUGGGCUGCGAGCUGCCGGGCCCAGCCAUUGCAGCUUCCCCGCUGGGCACAACAGAAGCACGUCGGCUGAUCCCCUCCAACGCGUGUAAAGACAAGCGAUAAUAAUAUCCAGGGGGAGAGUAUCAAGAGAACUGAGCAUCAAACCCAUCUGACUCCACUAUUUCUUCUCGAAAUAGUGAUUGUGAUGAGGAGAAAAUUGUGAAGAAGCGAAUGGGUGCAAUUGGGAAACUUACCCAGAGUCCAUGACGGUGUGUCUGUCUAAUGAACGACCCUGGCUGUUGUGUGACAACCAUUUUAGUUUUAUUACUGGUGGUGAUACUGCUUUUCAACCUUGGAAAGGCGCACUUCGCACUUUGAAUGGGAAAUGGUGCUAGUAGAAGUGGAAUGCAUUUCCCAGGCGUGGGUUGAUUCCCCAAGAAAGCUCUGACUCCUGCACAGAUGUGGUUCACUCCAUUGUGCCUGAGGAGCAGCAUUGUCCACCAUAGUUCUCAUCCCAGAACUUCAGCUGAGUGUGUGCUGGAGGAGGCUUGAAGUCUUGGCUCAGCAGGACAGCGUGAGGAAGUCCAGGCUGGUGGAACAGGCGGGCUCAGUGGUACCUCAGGACAUCAGGUGGCACCCCGGCUGAGGGGGGUAACUUGUCACAGUGUAAUCUAGGCCUUAAUCCUGCAAACACUUGUUCACAUGAGUAACAUUACACACAAGUUCUCCCAAUAAUUUGAGUUGAGGUUGCAGGAUCAUCUGGGAGUUACUUAAGUUGUAAGCCCUUUUGGGGCAGGGAUUGUCUUUUUGGGCUGUGUUUGUACAGCACGUCGCACAAUGGCGCCCUGGUCCAUGACUGAGGCUUCUAGGUAGAACUGUGUGAAUAAUAGAUUUUUUUCAGCUGACUGGCAAUUCCUAAAUGGGGGGGAAAAUGAUAUAAAAUGAAACACAAUCUUUCAAAAUGUGGUGACUUGAAAAGUCAUCAAUUACUACUAGACUGAAACAUUUCAUUUAGGCAUUUUCAAAUGGAUCAUUUUCAAGUUGACCAUUUUAAAUGUUUUAGAUAAUUUUUAAAUAAAAUUUUGUAGCAAAAAGUCACUUCAAAUGGAAACCCUUCCAUUCAAAAAUGUUGAAAUGAAACACUUUGAUUUAUUUUGGGGGGGAUUUUUUUUGACCUAACCAGUUUAGUGAAAUUAGCAUGAGUUUGUGAAAAGUUCUGGUGUCACCGUAGCUGCAUUUUUCAGAAAACAAACAAAACCCUCAGUCAAAAAAGUAAUUGGUAAUGUUCUAUAAUUAGAUUUUACCAACCAAGGAACAAGUGUGAACUCCUAAAGCCCUACAACAGCCUUAACAUGGACUCAGACUGUCCCCUUGGGCACCCUGGUCUAGUUUGCCACCCACGCAUGACUGCCUUCAUGAUAGAUGGUACCUUAUACCAAAAGCCACAACAAUAAUCAGGUUACUCCCAGUCCCCAGGGACCAGUCACUUAUCAUAGGUCAGUUGUACCUCAGAUCCCAAACCAAAGACAACACUUCUAGCUAAUCCUAUAAUGCUAACUAAAGAUUUAUCAACUAGAGAGAAAUGAGUUGUUUACAA